rnacentral:rRNA from 1 species
GGGGGSGGKKCCUAAUMCAUGCAAGUCGAGCGAAUGGAUUAAGAGCUUGCUCUUAUGAAGUUAGCGGCGSCAUSGUGUGAGUAACACGUGGGUAACCUGCCCAUAAGACUGGGAUAACUCCGGGAAACCGGGGCUAAUACCGGAUAAYAUUUUGAACCGCAUGGUUCGAAAUUGAAAGGCGGCUUCGGCUGUCACUUAUGGAUGGACCCGCGUCGCAUUAGCUAGUUGGKGAGGUAACGGCUCACCAAGGCAACGAUGCGUAGCCGACCUGAGAGGGUGAUCGGCCACACUGGGACUGAGACACGGYCCAGACUCCUACGGGAGGCASCAGUAGGGAAUCUUCCGCAAUGGACGAAAGUCUGACGGAGCAACGCCGCGUGAGUGAUGAAGGYUUUCGGGUCGUAAAACUCUGUUGUUAGGGAAGAACAAGUGCUAGUUGAAUAAGCUGGCACCUUGACGGUACCUAACCARAAAGCCACGGYUAACUACGUGCCAGCAGCCGYGGUAAUACGKAGGUGGCAAGCGUUAUCCGGAAUUAUUGGGCGYAAAGCGCGCGCAGGUGGUUUCUUAAGUYUGAUGUGAAAGCCCACGGYUCAACCGUGGAGGGYCAUUGRAAACUGGGAGACUUGAGKGCAKAASAGGAAAGUGGAAUUCCAUGYGUAGCGGGGAAAUGCSKAGAGAUAUGGAGGAACACCAGKGGAGAAGGSGACUUUUUUGGGCUGWAACUGACACUGAGGCSCSAAASCGUGGGGAGMAAACAGGAUUARAUACCCUGGUAAAA